AGCGUAGACGGUUUUGCAAGUCUGAAGUGAAAGCCCGGGGCUUAACCCCGGGACUGCUUUGGAAACUGUAGAACUAGAGUGCAGGAGAGGUAAGUGGAAUUCCUAGUGUAGCGGUGAAAUGCGUAGAUAUAUGGAGGAACACCAGUGGCGAAGGCGACGAUCUGGCGCAUAACUGACGCUCAGUCCCGAAAGCGUGGGGAGCAAAUA
rnacentral:rRNA from 1 species